CGCGUAGGUGGUAGUGUAAGUCUGGGGUGGAAUGCCGGGGCUUAACCCUGGAAUUGCCUUGGAAACUGCAUUACUUGAGUCAGUGAGGGGAGGGUAGAAUUCCUGGUGUAGCGGUGAAAUGCGUAGAUAUCAGGAGGAAGGCCUGUGGCGAAGGCGGCCCUCUGGUGCUGGACUGACACUGAGGCGCGAAAGCGUGGGGAGCAAACAGGAUUAGAUACCCUGGUAGUCCACGCCCUAAACGGUGGGCACUAGGUGUAGGGCUCGUAAGGGUUCUGUGCCGAAGGGAACCAUUAAGUGCCCCGCUGGGGAGUACGGCCGCAAGGUUGAA
rnacentral:rRNA from 1 species